rnacentral:rRNA from 1 species
CACGUAGGUGGCAUGGUAAGUCAAAGGUGAAAGCCCUCGGCUCAACCGAGGAACUGCCUUUGAAACUGCUUUGCUUGAGUCCGGGAGGGGGGAGCGGAAUUCCCAGUGUAGCGGUGAAAUGCGUAGAUACUGGGAGGAGCACCGGUGGCGAAGGCGGCUCCCUGGACCGGUACUGACACUGAGGUGCGAAAGCGUGGGUAGCAAACA